rnacentral:rRNA from 1 species
CUCUUAGAUGUCCUGGGCCGCACGCGUGCUACACUGACGCCUACAGCGAGUACUUCCCAGCCCCGAGAGGUGGCUGGUAAUCAGCAAUAGGCGUCGUGAUGGGGAUAGAUCUUUGGAAUUAUGGAUCUUGAACGAGGAAUGCCUAGUAAGCGCAGAUCAUUAGCCUGCGCUGAUUAAGUCCCUGCCCUUUGUACACACCGCCCGUCGCUCCUACCGAUUUCGAGUGGUCCGGUGAAUCUUUCGGACUGCGCGCGGCCUCGUGCCGUGUCGCGGAAAGUCAGGUAAACCUUAUCACUUAGAGGAAGGAGAAGUCGUAACA